rnacentral:rRNA from 1 species
UACGUAGGGGGCGAGCGUUGUUCGGAAUUACUGGGCGUAAAGGGCGCGCAGGCGGCUCUGAAAGUCAGAUGUGAAAGCCCCGGGCUUAACCUGGGAACUGCAUUUGAUACUCUGGAGCUUGAGUACGGGAGAGGAGAGUGGAAUUCCCAGUGUAGAGGUGAAAUUCGUAGAUAUUGGGAGGAACACCAGUGGCGAAGGCGGCGAUCUGGGAAGAUACUGACGCUGAGGUGCGAAAGCGUGGGGAGCAAACAGG